CCCUUAGAUGUUCUGGGCUGCACGCGUGCUACACUGAUUACUUCAACAAGUGUUUUAACUGGAGAGUUCGCGUAAUCCUGAAAUGUUAUCGUGAUGGGAGUAGAGUAUUGUAUUUGUUAAUCUUUAACGAGGACUUCCUAGUAAGUGUAGGUUUAUUUGUUUUUUUUUUUACGUCCCUGCCCUUUGUACACACCGCCCGUCGCUACUACCGAUUGAACGGUUUAGUGAGGGCCUCGGAUUGGUCUCGGCCCGCUCUUUACCGGGCGGCGCCGUUGGUCGAGAAGACGCUCGAACUUGAUCGUUUAGAGGAAGUAAAAGUCGUAACA
rnacentral:rRNA from 1 species